rnacentral:rRNA from 1 species
GACGAACGCUGGCGGCGUGCUUAACACAUGCAAGUCGAACGGGUCUGCCCUGUUUUUUGCGGGGUGGGUCAGUGGCGAACGGGUGAGUAACACGUGAGUAACCUGCCCCUCACUUCUGGAUAACCGCUUGAAAGGGUGGCUAAUACGGGGUGUUCUGGCUGUGCCGCAUGGUGUGGCUGGGAAAGAUUCACUUUUGUGGUGUUUUGGUGGGGGAUGGGCUCGCGGCCUAUCAGCUUGUUGGUGGGGUGAUGGCCUGCCAAGGCUUUGACGGGUAGCCGGCGUGAGAGGGUGGGCGGUCACACUGGGACUGAGAUACGGCCCAGACUCCGGCGGGAGGCAGCAGUGGGGGGUAUUGCACAAUGGGCGGAAGCCUGAUGCAGCGACGUCGCGUGAGGGAUGGAGGCCUUCGGGUUGUGAACCUCUUUCGCCGGUGAAGAAGGUCCUGCUCUUUGUGGUGGGGUUGACGUUAGCCGGGUUAUGAAGCGCCGGCUAACUACGG